GCUAUGAUGGAAGUAACUAUCAUGAUCGAGGUUUAUAAAUGGAUGAAGGGCUUUAAUAAGGGAGACAUUCAUAAGGUUUUGUUGGUAAGAGAACCGGGUAGGGCACGAAGUAAUGGGUUUAAACUGGAUAAAUUCAGAUUCAACAGGGACAUAGGCAAAAAUUGGUUUACUAACAGGGUGGUGGAUGAGUGGAAUAGGCUUAGCAGUCAUGUGGUGAGUGCCAAUACAAUUGUCACAUUCAAAAAUAGACUAGAUAAAUUCAUGGACAGCGAUAUUAGGUGGGGUUAGAUACACGGGAGCUUAGGGUCAAAGGAGCUGCCUCUUGUAGACUCCUGCGUUCUUAUGUUCUUAUGUUAACUAUCAUUCUUAUUAUCAUGAACAAUGCCAUCAUCAUCAUAAUCAUUUGACAAAGUAUAUGCCUGGGGUGCAUUGCUGUACAUGUCUACCAGUCUGCAGUGUUUUGGUGGGCAAGCUGAUUCUUUAGAGAUUAACAAAGGUGGUAUUUAGGGUGCUGACACUGUUUACCACAAUUGAUGCUUUUCAAAUACGUGGAGUCUGUUAUUCAUCAUUUUGCUUUUUCAAUGGAAAUACUUUUUGGUAAGAAAAGAAAAACUUGCCCUUUCCUUCAUCACUGCAACAAAAUUUCAGUAAUGACAGGUUACUAUUUUAGCGGUGAUAGGUUACUAUCCGUUAGUUAACAGUGAGGUGGUUAGUUUAUAAACAAGCGGGGCCUCAGGAUGGCCAAGCAGUAUAUGUUGCCCUGUUUGUCGUGCGUCUUGCCAGCCAAAGCACAGUGCCAUUCCGUCAGCAAGUUCACGCUGGCACUGUCAUGGCUGUCCUGUGUCAAAGACUGCUCAGGUCUGAAUGGAAAUAGACUGCUCAGGUCUGAAUGGAAAUAGACUGCUCAGGUCUGAAUGGAAAUAGACUGCUCAGGUCUGAAUGGAAGUAGACUGCUCAGGUCUGAAUGGAAAUAGACUGCUCAGGUCUGAAUGGAAAUAGACUGCUCAGGUCUGAAUGGAAAUAGACUGCUCAGGUCUGAAUGGAAAUAGACUGCUCAGGUCUGAAUGGAAAUAGACUGCUCAGGUCUGAAUGGAAAUAGACUGCUCAGGUCUGAAUGGAAAUAGACUGCUCAGGUCUGAAUGGAAAUAGACUGCUCAGGUCUGAAUGGAAGUAGACUGCUCAGGUCUGAAUGGAAAUAGACUGCUCAGGUCUGAAUGGAAGUAGACUGCUCAGGUCUGAAUGGAAGUAGACUGCUCAGGUCUGAAUGGAAGUAGACUGCUCAGGUCUGAAUGGAAGUAGACUGCUCAGGUCUGAAUGGAAGUAGACUGCUCAGGUCUGAAUUAUAUAGUAUUCUGCAAAAUGGUGUCUUGUUCUUCAAAUCAUUAUUCAUUGUGUUUUCUUGAUAUUAGAAAUGAAUAACAUGAACCUCCUAUACUGUUUUUUCUUUGUGGGGGCAAAGCUUCAUGGGCCUUUAAAGAUUUUAUUAUGCCUCUGAGCUGCUUCAUCUACCUCAGUGAGACCUUCACCAAUACGUACGCAUAAGAUAAAUUCUUUUCCCAGGAGACAGGCACAAAUUGUU